rnacentral:rRNA from 1 species
GCAGCAGUGGGGAAUUUUGGACAAUGGGCGSAAGCCUGAUCCAGCCAUGCCGCGUGAGUGAAGAAGGCCUUCGGGUUGUAAAGCUCUUUCGGCGGGGAAGAAAUUGCUUGGGUUAAUACCCUGAGUAGAUGACGGUACCCGAAUAAGAAGCACCGGCUAACUACGUGCCAGCAGCCGCGGUAAUACGUAGGGUGCGAGCGUUAAUCGGAAUUACUGGGCGUAAAGCGUGCGCAGGYGGUUUUGUAAGUCAGAUGUGAAAUCCCCGGGCUCAACCUGGGAACUGCAUUUGAGACUGCMAGACUGGAGUUUGGCAGAGGGKRGUGGAAUUCCACGUGUAGCAGUGAAAUGCGUAGAGAUCUGGAGGAACACCGAUGGCGAAGGCAGCCCCCUGGGCCAAYACUGACGCUCAUGCACGAAAGCGUGGGGAGCAAACAGGAUUAGAUACCCUGGUAGUCCACGCCCUAAACGAUGUCAACUAGGUGUUGGGAGGGUUAAACCUUUCAGUGCCGUAGCUAACGCGUGAAGU